UUAAGAAUAAACUAAUAUAUAAGUUAGAUUAUUGUUAAUAAUUUUAUAGUUUAAAAACUUUCUUAAG
rnacentral:tRNA from 1 species